rnacentral:rRNA from 1 species
UGGGGAAUAUUGCACAAUGGGCGCAAGCCUGAUGCAGCCAUGCCGCGUGUAUGAAGAAGGCCUUCGGGUUGUAAAGUACUUUCAGCGGGGAGGAAGGGAGUAAAGUUAAUACCUUUGCUCAUUGACGUUACCCGCAGAAGAAGCACCGGCUAACUCCGUGCCAGCAGCCGCGGUAAUACGGAGGGUGCAAGCGUUAAUCGGAAUUACUGGGCGUAAAGCGCACGCAGGCGGUUUGUUAAGUCAGAUGUGAAAUCCCCGGGCUCAACCUGGGAAGUGCAGCUGAUACUGGCAAGCUUGAGUCUCGUAGAGGGGGGUAGAAUUCCAGGUGUAGCGGUGAAAUGCGUAGAGAUCUGGAGGAAUACCGGUGGCGAAGGCGGCCCCCUGGACGAAGACUGACGCUCAGGUGCGAAAGCGUGGGGAGCAAACAGG